rnacentral:rRNA from 1 species
CGGAGAUAACAUUUUCGAAGCGAUUAGUUUACUAAGAGCGGAGAUGUUGCUAUCUUAGUGGCGGACGGGUGAGUAACGCGUGGGUAACCUGCCUUGCACUGGGGGAUAACACUUAGAAAUAGGUGCUAAUACCGCAUAACAGUAGGAGACGCAUGUCUUUUACUUGAAAACUCCGGUGGUGUAAGAUGGACCCGCGUCUGAUUAGCUUGUUGGCGGGGUAACGGCCCACCAAGGCAACGAUCAGUAGCCGGCCUGAGAGGGUGAACGGCCACAUUGGGACUGAGACACGGCCCAAACUCCUACGGGAGGCAGCAGUGGGGAAUAUUGGACAAUGGGGGGAACCCUGAUCCAGCGACGCCGCGUGAGUGAAGAAGUAUUUCGGUAUGUAAAGCUCUAUCAGCAGGGAAGAAAGAAAUGAAGAAACCUGACUAAGAAGCCCCGGCUAACUACGUGCCAGCAGCCGCGGUAAUACGUAGGGGGCAAGCGUUAUCCGGAUUUACUGGGUGUAAAGGGAGCGUAGACGGCGAUGCAAGUCUGAAGUGAAAGGCGGGGGCCCAACCCCUGGACUGCUUUGGAAACUGUAUGGCUGGAGUGCAGGAGAGGUAAGUGGAAUUCCUAGUGUAGCGGUGAAAUGCGUAGAUAUUAGGAGGAACACCAGUGGCG